rnacentral:rRNA from 1 species
UACGGAGGGGGCUAGCGUUGUUCGGAAUUACUGGGCGUAAAGCGCACGUAGGCGGCUUUGUAAGUUAGAGGUGAAAGCCCGGGGCUCAACUCCGGAAUUGCCUUUAAGACUGCAUCGCUAGAAUUGUGGAGAGGUAAGUGGAAUUCCGAGUGUAGAGGUGAAAUUCGUAGAUAUUCGGAAGAACACCAGUGGCGAAGGCGACUUACUGGACACAUAUUGACGCUGAGGUGCGAAAGCGUGGGGGGCAAACAGGG